CCUACGGGGGGCAGCAGUGGGGAAUAUUGGACAAUGGGGGGAACCCUGAUCCAGCCAUGCCGCGUGUGUGAAGAAGGCCCUCGGGUUGUAAAGCACUUUCAGUGAGGAAGAACGCCUGGUGGUUAAUACCCAUCAGGAAAGACAUCACUCACAGAAGAAGCACCGGCUAACUCCGUGCCAGCAGCCGCGGUAAUACGGAGGGUGCGAGCGUUAAUCGGAAUUACUGGGCGUAAAGCGCGCGUAGGUGGCUUGAUAAGCCGGUUGUGAAAGCCCCGGGCUCAACCUGGGAACGGCAUCCGGAACUGUCAAGCUAGAGUGCAGGAGAGGAAGGUAGAAUUCCCGGUGUAGCGGUGAAAUGCGUAGAGAUCGGGAGGAAUACCAGUGGCGAAGGCGGCCUUCUGGACUGACACUGACACUGAGGUGCGAAAGCGUGGGUAGCAAACAGGAUAGAUACCCGAGUAGUC
rnacentral:rRNA from 1 species